GGGCAACUGGUCACCUUUUCCUCUCCACAGGUUUUGAUCCCUGAUUGUCUUCAUAUCUAGGAUGAGAAUCUUCUGACACAGACUCUUCUUGGAGGAUCCUGGGACCCUGAGGCCUGCACCAUUGAUCUAGUAUACCCUACAUAGGGUGAUAUGUGCAAUUUUAUUUUAAGAGUACCCCGUUGGGUUACGUUAAGCACUGAUCUGCUGAAGACAAGCCACAGACUACAGGGAAGAGGACGAUUAGAUACAAGAUGCAAGACUGUGUGCAUACAACAGCAGUACAACAAGGAAAAGGUUACACUCAGUUUUUUUUUUAUACUUUUAAUGCUGUACAGAAUAGUGUAG